GAACAAACACAGAUCAAGCCCGAAGCCUCGAGACUUUACCAGCAAUCAUUUACAGAUUACGGCAAGCUGCAGUCCUCCGCUCCUGUGGGGCAUUCCCAGACUUUGCUUUCAGGAGACUGGUUAGGCUGCUUUCUACCCGUUUUCGUGGUUCGGGUUCUGGGACACUAGCAUCGGGCUUACAGCUUCUCUCAGAGGCUGUAACUACAUGACGGUUAGGAUUUGUUUUUUAAAAAUAAUUUGGAACCCGGCUGCUAACAAGCUAGAAUUUACUGUGUGUUUUCUGGCAGAGAUUUUGCUACACUGCUUUUUUUUUUUCGCCCCAGCUUGCUUUCUUGUGUUUUUAAAUAACCUGGAGCGGGGAGUUGUAGCAUCUCUCUAAACAUCAAGAGAAAAGGGUGUGGACUUUUCUCUCUCAACUUGCAUACCUCUCGUCCCUUAUUUAAAACUGAACAUGCUUUCAAUAAUCAUCUGAAACCGUGCAUGGCAGAUGCUAAGAAAUAGCAAGAGCAGGAUUGUUGUCCUGGAGCAUCCAUAGUUCGUCUGCUUUCUGUGCUGAUAGAGAAAUCUGAGUUUUAGAGGGAAGUCAAACACAACUGCCGAAUUUUCAGCCAAUGAAACCAUGUCAACAUCUGCUCAUGGACAGGAAGUGCCUGACCAGGAACAUGGCCGUGGAGUCACUACAAGGAAAAGAUAAGCCUUCCGUCAUUACUGCCAAAGGGAAAACCAGCAGACCUAAGUGGGAUUAAAGAGUGCAACAAAUUCACUUGAAGGCACAGAUUUAAAUACUUAAUAACUUGUUAACGUAAUUCAAAGGGGUAGCCACAAGAAACAAAAAUAUUGAUUGCUUAUUAAUUGAUUGUAUUAAGUGUUUAUUUGGCAAUCAGAUGACCCAUUAGCGUGCCAAAGCAUUUUUCUAUUUGUCUUCUAGGUAAGGCAGUGCUUCUCACCAUGGUGAAGGACCACGUUUCUUUCUCUUUUCUGUUUUUUAAAUUUCCAAUACAUUAUGAACCAAUACU
rnacentral:lncRNA from 1 species